rnacentral:rRNA from 1 species
GCAAGUUGAACGGUAGACGAUCUUUCGGGAUUGUUGAGAGUAGCGCACGGGUGCGUAACGCGUAUGAAACCUACCCUAUACAGGGGGAUAGCCCGGAGAAAUCUGGAUUAAUACCCCAUGGUAUUAUUGAGUGGCAUCACUUAAUGAUUAAAGAUUUAUCGGUAUAGGAUGGUCAUGCGUCUGAUUAGCUAGUUGGGGAGGUAACGGCUCACCAAGGCGACGAUCAGUAGGGGCCCUGAGAGGGGGAUC